rnacentral:tRNA from 1 species
GCGAGAGUGGCGGAAUUGGCAGACGCGCUGGACUUAGGAUCCAGUGCCGAAAGGCGUGUGGGUUCAAAUCCCUCCUCUCGCA